GUCGAACGGUGUCUUCGGACAUAGUGGCGCACGGGUGCGUAACACGUAUGCAACCUACCUUACAUUGGGGGAUAGCCUUUCGAAAGGGAGAUUAAUACCGCAUAAGACAGUAGCUGGGCAUCCAGCAGCUGUUAAAGAUUUAUCGAUGUAAGCUGGGCAUGCGUCCAAUUAGCUAGUUGGUGAGGUAACGGCUCACCAAGGCUAUGAUUGGUAGGGGAACUGAGAGGUCAAUCCCCCACACUGGCACUGAGAUACGGGCCAGACUCCUACGGGAGGCAGCAGUAGGGAAUAUUGGGCAAUGGACGCAAGUCUGACCCAGCCAUGCCGCGUGCAGGAUGAAGGCGUUAUGCGUUGUAAACUGCUUUUAUACAGGAAGAAACGACUCUUGCGAGAGGCAUUGACGGUACUGUAUGAAUAAGCACCGGCUAACUCCGUGCCAGCAGCCGCGGUAAUACGGAGGGUGCAAGCGUUGUCCGGAUUUAUUGGGUUUAAAGGGUGCGCAGGUGGUUUAUUAAGUCAGUGGUGAAAGACGGUCGCUCAACGAUUGCAGUGCCAUUGAAACUGGUAGACUUGAGUAAAGUAGAGGUGGGCGGAAUUGAUAGUGUAGCGGUGAAAUGCAUAGAUAUUAUCAAGAACUCCAAUUGCGUAGGCAGCUCACUUGGCUUUUACUGACACUCAUGCACGAAAGUGUGGGUAUCAAACAGGAUUAGAUACCCUGGUAGUCCACACUGUAAACGAUGAUAACUAGGU
rnacentral:rRNA from 1 species